GAUGAACGCUGGCGGCGUGCCUAAUACAUGCAAGUCGAACGAAGGAUUUAGCAAUAAGUCCUUAGUGGCGAACGGGUGAGUAACGCGUUGGUGACCUGCCCCAAAGAGUGGGAUAACUCCGGGAAACUGGAGCUAAUACCGCAUGUGGUCAUUGGGUUUAGAAACUGAUGACUAAAGGAGAAAUCCGCUUUGGGAUGGGCCUGCGUCCCAUCAGCUAGUUGGUAGGGUAACGGCCUACCAAGGCGACGACGGGUAGGGGGCCUGAGAGGGUGACCCCCCACAAUGGAACUGAAACACGGUCCAUACACCUACGGGUGGCAGCAGUAGGGAAUAUUGGGCAAUGGGCGAAAGCCUGACCCAGCAACGCCGCGUGUGCGAUGAAGGUCUUCGGAUCGUAAAGCACUUUUCUGGGAGAUGAGAAAGGACAGUAUCCCAGGAAUAAGCCUCGGCUAACUACGUGCCAGCAGCCGCCGUAAAAC
rnacentral:rRNA from 1 species